rnacentral:rRNA from 1 species
CCAGCAGCUGCGGUAAUUCCAACUCCAAGAGUGUAUCUUAAUGUUGCUGCAGUUAAAAAGCUCGUAGUUGAACCUCUGGCUAGUGAGGGCCCGCAUGGGCCGUUCGCUAGUCAUCCGCUCGGAGAAGCAGUAUUUCCUUAACCGGUUUUACUGUAGACCCAGCAUUUUACUUUGAAGAAAUUAGAGUGUUCCUGGCAGGCCUAGCUUGCAUAUAUUAGCAUGGAAUAAUGGAAUAGGACCUUGUCUGUUUUAUUGGUUGACAGAUAGGUAAUGAUUAACAGGGACAGUCGGGGGCAUUCGUACUCAGUGGCUAGAGGUGAAAUUCUUAGAUUCGCUGAAGACGCACUAAUGCGAAAGCAUUUGCCAAGGAUGUUUUCAUUAAUCAAGAACGAAAGU